UUAUUCACGAAUCCCGUUUAUUCCCGAAUAAUUAUUUUUGCUCAAAAAACCGCGAAUUAUUCCGAAUUUUUGGCAAAAAUUCGAAAACGGGUGUUUAAUUCGGCAUUUCUAAAAUUCGUAAAUAAUUCGCGAAUUAACUAACUAUGGUAUAUAUAUAUAUAUAUAUAUAUAUAUAGAGUUCGGCUACGGUACUUGUAAAAGUACAAAGCACUUAGUACUUGUAAAUUUUUUAUUAUUAGAUCUACGUCUUUAAUCAUUUUUAUCUGUUAGAUUAUACUAUUCAACCAACCACCGACUCAACCCUAAGGGGUCCACAUCAUCUUAACCGCACAUUCCUUAAUUCAAGGACCGAAAACUUACAAGUACCAAUGACUUGGUACUUUUAAAAGCAUAGAAGCUCAAUUAUAUAUAUAUAUAUAUAUAUACAUGUACGAUCGUACGGUGUAUGGUGAGGGGCUGCCAAAAUUAAUUAGAGAAACUAAUUAUAAAGGUGGCCGGUUAUUGAGGCAUGUACGGCUUCGUGGGUGCAGGUGUGGAGGCCAAAUUAAGUAGCAUUCGGUGCCUAGCUAAUUAAUUAAGGUGCCCGUCCGUACGGUAGCAAGAGAAGGGAGGUUGCUCGCAUGCGACGGAUUGAGGUCGGCGGCGGAGCGGCGGUUCUCGACCAAUUGUCUGAGCAAUUCGGAUUCUUCGAAGCAACCGCAUAAAGGAAUUUGGUUAGAGUUUCUACACUUCUCUAAUUUGGUCUUCUCAGUUUUACGAAAAGUUUUUUCGGUAUUUUUUUAGAGUUUUCGUUGGAACAAGAGAAAGGUGGGAUUCACGUUAAGGUUCUUGAUUUUUAUCCGGAGAAGAUAUAAGGUAUAAGCUUGUACUUCUGUUUUUUCAUAUAGUAGAAUACAUAUCUCUCACUCUCCCCGUGGACGUAGGCAAUUGCCGAACUACGUAAAUCUUGGUUUCUUCUUUCUGCAUUUAUUUUUUUUACCGUUCGUUCGGUCGAUUUUUUUUAUUUUUUCGUGCAUCUUUAUUGAUAGCGCAUGACGGAUGAUCCAUCAUGUUCCCAACAGAGACGACUUUUUAAUUUCUCUC
rnacentral:lncRNA from 1 species